AAGAAAACGAAGAGCCACAGCGAGAUUCAUCUUUCGUUUUUGCCAGAGCGAUACAAACCCUUAGUAGAAGAGGACGAGGCAAGAGAAAAAGCCAAAGAAGCAAAGAAGAAAAAGAAAGCAACAUAUAAAAAAAUAAGAAAGAUACUUUCAACAAUAGAAAUCCCAAACGAGUAUCCUUACAGUACUAAUUUCAUAUAACUUGGAAUGUUGGCAAGGUCUUUCACUACAGCUGGAAGUGUUUGAUUCUGGGCCUACACAGCUUUACAGCAGGGUACUCCACUCCCAUCUCUGCAGCUGCCAACCUCGUCCCAGACUUCCACGCUGGCAAGGCCAAACGCUGAG